CUACCACAGCUGGCCUCCUCUGCAGCAGCCUCCUUUCUCACCCUGCUUUCUCUAUAAAAGAUGACCACCAAAUCUGAUUCCUCUCCGUCUUCUCCUCAAUCUGCACGCACACACACACACACUCUGUCUCUCUCUCUCUCUCUCUCACCCACACUCUGUCUCUCUCUCUCUCUAAAACACUUUCUCUCUCACAUGUAUACAUGCCCGCAUACACACUUUUUGGCACAGUAUUACUUGUGCUAAUGGUGUGCGUCGAAUACUGAUUACCAGCGCUGGUUUAUGAAACAUGAACGUUGCGUAUGAGCCGACGCCAUAUUCAUACGUUACACUUCUCCAAUUCUGCUUUCGAUUUUUCAAAGCUCUUUCGGAGAGCUUGUUCUCAUCAGAUCUGGAGAAAUAUUCUAUUUUUUUAAAGUUUUUUUUUUAAAUUUUGGUUUCAAACAAUAUAGUGAAGGAGAUGGAAGUGAUGAUUUUUUCCCCAGAUGAUCGAAACUGAAAUUAUCGAGCGCUUUAUUUGUAUUUUCUCCAGUUUUCUGGAGAUAAUCCAAGCCAGAUUUGUCUGAUCCAUCUCCUCCUAUCAAAUUUCUCAUCCACUUUUUUUAAUAUGCUUUUCAUUGAAAAGCCUAUAGCUUUUUUUCUUGUUUUUCUCAAAAGAAAGUUUAGAGGCAUCGGAAUGGAAUUCCAGUACAUUUGUUUCUUUUCGGAUAUCUAUGCAACAGAUGAAUGUACUAUGGACAAAAAAUGGAUGUGAUGAUUAUUUCCCCAGAUGAUCGAAGCUGAUUAUACUGUGCUACCAUUAAAUUUCUCUUUUUCGAGAAAUCAAGCCAGAAAUCUGAUCCAUUUUUUUAGUUUCUUUGUCCUCUUUUUUCUGUUUUAAAAUGUUAGUUCCAAUUGUGAUUUUCAUCCAUUUAAGCAUGACAAUCAAUAAAUUUUGCAAAAUGUCAUUCUAAUAGUGAUGGUAAAUUUUGCAAAUGAGAUCGUCUUUUUGCCACUUGUUUCUGAAUGCGUUAACCUUCCCUGUCUCGUAAGCAAUUUUAUUAGAAUUGAACCAUUGGGAAGGAGGGAUAUGUUAAGCCCGAAAACAACUAAAACAAGGAGUUCUCGGGCCGGGACAAAACGUUGGCUGAAUUUGCUGUUGAAAUUUCUCCAGGGCAUGGUACAUUUGUACUCGUUAGAUAUUGCAGAAGACAUCCAAGGCGAUCUGGUGAUUACGUUUAGGCCAAGUUUAUCCACUCUUCAAAACGAAUGCUGUUGGUGAAGCGCGCCCAGUAGCAGGUGACAAAUGUAUCACUAGGGAAAUAGAAAAGGAUGCAUGAGCAGCUGCUACAACACCGAUGGAAAGCUUCAUGGCAAUCAAUUAAUAGAUAUAACCUCUUCCAAAAAUUAUCAAUUUGUUACCCCCUUCAUAUACCCCUUAUAAUAGACCACUGGUUAACGUUCUUGUCAGGGUAUAGAUAUCGGAACAAAGUGCUGCUGUUAUGUUUUUCAUA